AGUUCAGAGGGAAUUGUACUUUCAAAGGAAGAAUUAACUCUUCCCUCUACUCUGGAAGAGUUUAAUAUGUAUUGUUCUCCUCUUUACCUCCUUUCUAUAUCUAACUUUUCUUUUUAUCUAGUGUGGUAUUAAUCUGAUCCAGUGUGUUCUUCACUUUAGAUAUCAUAUUUUUUCAUCUCUAGAGAUUCCAUUUAGGUAUUUUUAAUAUCUUCACUGCCUCCAUCAUGCUCAUGUUUUCAUCUCCUUUCAUAAAUAUACGGAAUGUUUGCUUCUGUAGUGCUGGAGAUUGAACCCAGGGCUUCACACAUGUGAGGUAAGUGUUCUGUAACUCAACUACACCCCAGGAUGUGGAUUGUAUUUUUAAUUGCUGUUUUCUUAAUGUCCUGGUUUGAUAAUCUAUCAUCUCUGUCAUUUCUAUUGAUGCAUUUUCUCCUGAUUAUUGGUCAUAUUUUCCUGCCUUUUUACAUGCCUGGUAAUUUUUUUUUACUAGAUGCCAGACAUUAUGAAUUUUAUGUUAUUGUGUGCUGAAUUUUAUUGUACUCUUUUAUGUUUGGGUACACAGUUGAAUUUCUUGCAAUAAGUUGUAUAAUUUUAAGACUUGUCUUUUGGCUUUAUUAUCUGGGUCCAGAGCAGCCUUAAAUUUAUUCCCACUAGGGCACUACCCUUCUGAGAUGUCCCCUGUAUCAUGGGGAUACUUUGAUUGUUGGAUACAAACUAUUUCCAUCCCCAAUUCUAGUUACCCUGGCUUUCCUGAACUCUUCAGAUUUCUCCUUUCUGUGCUGUGCCCUAGAAACUGCUUCCAGGCAGUGCUCUGGGAUGGCCAAAUAGUUUGCCUUGCUUUUUUCCUUCUCUUAGGGGGAUCCUAUACUGGUUGUUUUUCACUGUCUGAAAAUCAUGAUUUCAUAAAGUUUCUUCAUUUUCGUAGUUGUUUUAAGACUAGAGGGCAAAUCCAGUUCUUGUCACUCUUAGCCAUAAGAUAUAGAGCUCUAACCAGGUUUUAAUUUCACAAAGAAGUCAUUAAGAAGCAAAUGUCACUCUGUAUAGACACAGAAUACUACUUUGUUGUUUUGAUUUGACCAGGUUAUUGAAGAUAAUGCAGCAAAAAUUAGGUAGGUGCAGUUAUCUCAAAAGAAGAGCCCCUAAUUGUGACAACUCAGUGUUGGAUUAAGAAAACUAAUUGAAGAGGAAUUCUUAUAUCUUCCCAUCAGAAUAAGGUCUCUGAAGGUUUGCAUAAAGAGAUACCUAUGCAGAAGGGCACAAGAGCAGAAGCCUUUGCUGGAGCAGCCCAAGGCUGAGAACUCUGUGGUAGACCAGUCUGAGCUGACCUAUCAGAAUUGUGAGUGGUAUUUGAGAAUGUUCUUUGUGAGAGAAUACUGUGUACUCUGGAUUACUGAUUUAGACUAAUGAUUUACACAGCAAUAAUUUUUCAGGGGAAAGAGAAGAUAGGGUGGCUGUUUCUUAAAUAAGUUUUCCCUCUGUGGACAUUAAACUUCUAAAUGUGGAAAAUUAUGGCAUGCUCCUGUACUGCCCAGCAGUAUUCCUUCUUUACUUCUUCCCCAGAUGUUAAGGGUGUGAGUCGGUAAAGGAUAUUUUUAAAGAGUCAUUCCUUCUAUGCUCUAGAUGUUAUCAGUACUGGCAUGUUCCUUUGUUAAUUUUUUUAAAUGAAGUGAUUCUUAACUAAAUCUUUUCUUGGUUUAAUAUCAUUGGCUGAGUUCUUCUCAUGAACUUGGUCACAAAACUCAUUGUAGGUAGGUCCUUUGAGCACAUAGGAGCAGGAAUGACACAGUUCAUCACUUCCUCUUCUGUGAUCAUGAUGUUACGAUCUAUCUCAUCUCUCUUCUCUUGGAUUCAAGACUUAACUUCAGAAUCUUUCCUAUCAUAACACUUCACACACUCACUACUAGUUAACCUGAAUUGCCACUCAAAAUGAAACCUAUUGCCCUCUCUGUCUUUUGUGUGAAAUCAAUUUAUAACAACCUCCCUUACAUUAGGAGAUUCCAAACUUGUAGAUUGCAAGUUUAUUUUAGAGUCACUUCUCCAUAUGAUUUAUCUACUAUCUAUAAUGACAUUCUAAAAGGCCUCCAAGGAAAUGUAAAUUCUUAUUACAACACGGAAACAUUAAAUGCAACUGAGUUAGAAGCUGUUCUAAACAGUAUCAUGUGUUUAGUCUUAAUUUCCCCCAAAUUUUGUAACACAGAUUUUCCUAUUUUCUUGAUGAAUAAAUAGGCCUAGAGGGUUUAAGUGACUUGUCUGAGGUCAUAUAGGUAUUUAGUAAUGGAGUCAGGACUUGCACUGGGAU
rnacentral:lncRNA from 1 species